GCCAAAGCUGGCCUAGGGUGUGGAGAGGAGCCUCCCCAGGGUCUGCACUCCUCCUCCCAUUUGCAGCCUUCGUAAGUGGACACUUCCAACCCCUACACCUGCCUGUCCUCCCAGUCCAGCCUUGGCCCGAGAUGUGAUCUAAUUCUCACUAUGCUGCUGUGGGCAGAGCACAUGGCAUCAGAAUGCUAGGAGCUGCUGUCGGGCGCCAUGGGAGGGAAUUCCCCAACUCAGGAAAGCUCUUCCAGCGGAAAGGAGCAGGUGGCGAGCCUCCCUGAAGAGACAGACACUGCCAACGCUACAGGCAGAGCCAAUCGUGGGGUGGCUAACAAAUUUUUCCAGCAACACAGAGCUGAGAGGAUUGGGAUCUCAGAGAAGAAGGAGCCCUGCAUUCUUGGCUUCAUCUGCCUGGAGUGGAGUUUCCAUCAUGCUGAGCUGGAGGUGCACGGGGCCAGGGAAUGAGCAAGUCGUAGCUCAAAUGUCCCAGACUCUUACUAUUCUUAUUGAAAUUUAGUAGGUUUUCUUGAAUAAAUGUUUCUUCAUCUGCUGUAUGCCCUUAGGACAAUUCCCAGGAACAUACAUCUAUAUUGAUAUCAAUAUAAAUAUAAAUAGAUAAUUAUGUAUGUAUAACUUUAGCAGUUUUACUUGUUCUGCUGGAAAGAAGGUCUGGAAGGUUUGCAGAGCUGCUCAUGCCACCAUUCCAGAAGUUAUCCACCAGUUCAUUGCUUUUUGCACAGUAGUAUUCCAUUGCAUGUCUAUGCCACAAUUUGUUUAUCCAUUCACCUGUUGAUGGACAUUUGAGCUGUUUCCUGUUUGAGGCUAUUACAAAUAAAGCUGCUUUACAAAUAAAGCUGCUUUGAACAUUUGUGUAUAAGUCUUUGGACAUAUGCUUUGAUUUAUCUUGAGUAAAUAUCUAGAAGUGGAGUGGCUGGGUUAUAUGGUAGGUUUGUGUUUUAAUUUUUAAGAAGCUGCUAAGAUGUCUUCCAAAGUGAUUCCCCCAUUAUGCACUCCUGCCAGCAGUGUGUGAGAGUUCCAGUUUCUCCAGAUUCUCACCAACACCUGGUAUGGUCAGUCUUUUUAAUGUUAGCCAUUCUAAUAGAUGUGUAGUGGUAUCUCAUUGUGGUUUUAAUUUUCAUUUUCCUAAUAGGUAAUGAUGUGUUUGAGCAUUUUUUCAUGUGCCUAUUUACUAUCCAUACACCUACUUGGUGAAAUAUCUGUUCAAAUCUUUUGCCUCCUUUCUUUUUUCAUAAUUGGGUGGUUUGUUUUCUUAUUAUUGAGUUUUGAGAGUUCUUUCUAUAUUGCAGAUACAAAUUUUUCUUGGAUAUGUGUACUGCAAUAGUUUCUCCCAGUUAGUAGCAUGUCUUUUCAUUCUCCUAACGGUUUCUUUCAAAAGGCAAAUGUUCUUAAUUUUGAUGAAGUCCAAUUUACAAAUAUUUUUCCUUUACAGAUCAUGUUUCUGGUAUUAUAUUUAUAAAAUCUUUGCCUAACUCGAGGUCACGAAGAUUUUGUUUUAUUGUUUAGUGUUCUCUCCUUCCAAUUUUUGGUUCCCAUUGUGUGUAUGGUUUUAUAUCUUGCUUUUUUUCCCAAAAAAACUUUAAAAAAUUUAAAUCCAUGGAAAAAUUGAAAGAUUAGUAUCAUGAACAAUGGCAUACUUUUUGCCUACAAGCAUCAAUUGUUAAUACCUUGCUACAUUUGCUAUAUCUCCCUGGAUACCUUUAAGUUGCAGGAUUUUGUAACACUGACUUUUUGCAAGGUCUAGGAAACCCAUCCUGAAAAUGUUCUUUAAAAAACAUCAACAGCAGCCUGUGCCAUUUUCUGCGAUAACAAAGGUCGUACUUGCCCAGUGUAGAGGACUGGGAAAAAACAGAGCAGCAAAAGAAGAAAAUAAAACUGUUCCCUCCCCCUAUUCCAACCCCAUGAUACCAGGAAAGCCACUUACCUGAGAGGUGGGUAGGAAGGACACACAGAGCUCAGAUACCACCUGAAAUUUGGGGUGCAAAUCCCUGACUCCCAUGGCAGCCCCCUAUCCUGGGAUCACUUUCUGCAGAAGAGCCCUCUGCUGGGAAGCUGAGGCCAGGAUCUCCGCAGCCGACCUUGAGCCUGCUCCACCCUCUCUGGGCUUAGCUGGUAAAGUAGAUAACAAGGUGGCUUGGCUUCUGUCCCAGGACACUAUUUGUAUCUUUACCGUGGUUACUUCUUAUUGUGAACAGGCUGGGCACCCCUGUCUCCAGCACCCCACCUCCAAGCAGGCCUAUCCCAGCUGCUUUUGCCUGGAAUAGCUCCUCCUUUACCAGCCUCCAUCCUUCAAAGCCCAGCUCAGGGUUGCUCCCCACCAAACCUCCCUUGACAUCACCCCACCAUUAGAGUUAGCUUGUCUCUCCCUGUAUCCUUGCAGCAAAUCACUCAUCUGUUGUGGGAGAGGCCUGUGCUGGAACUGCUGUACACUCCUAUCUCACUCAAGCCUCAUAACAACCCUCAAGAGAGGUUAUCAGGGCCAUUUUGAAGGUAAGGAGACUCAUCCUCAAUGCAUAGGGCUAGGUCAGUCACCUCAAGUUAGGGCAGAGCUAGGUUCACUCAGACCCCUGUCUCUGCCUUUAGAGACGUUGAUGCCCUUGUUGCAACCCCAGUGGCUUGUGUGCACAGAGAUCAGGGCUGCGUUUGAUGUAUCUGGGCCCUGGAUGCCCCCGUCUCCUACCCAUCUCUCCUCUUGUUUCAGAUGCAGCCAGCUGUAGGGUUGCCUUUUCCAAUGCAGCCUUCCCUCACUCCCACUGAGAGUAACUGCUCCUUUUCUGCACAUCCUCAUGCCCCAGAAUCAAUGGCCUGACUCUUCUGCUUCUCCAACCAUACUCAGACAUCCUCCUCCAAGUGCCCAGGCCGUGGUCCUGCACAUGGAUCCUUAAUCAGCUUUGUUCAAUGUAUUUUAAUAUUUAUUUUAAUUUGCUUGCAUUAUCUUUCUUUCUAUUAAUAUUCAUUAUUUUUCUUUACCUUCUUUUAUAAUGUUGGUUUUUUAUCCCAUUGAUACAUGUCCAAAUUGUAAAAAAUUUAGGAAAGAAUAAAAAUCACCCCAAAUUGUUAUAGAUAAUCAUAUUAACAUUUUGGUAGAUUAUUAUUUUUUGGGUCUGGUUUCUGUAGAUGUAUGCAUUUUACAGAGUUGAGAUUACAUUGUAUGAAUAGUUCUAAAGACUGCUUUUAAAAAUCUAACAUUAUACCAUGGAUAUUUUCCCCAUGUCAUUAAAAAGUACAUGUGCCACACCCACUGGGAAGGCUCUGAUAAAGAAGACAGAUAAUAACAAAAUGUGGCGAAUCGGAACCUUCAUACAAUGCUGGUGGGAAUGUAACAUGGUACAGCCCCUUUGGAAAACAGUUUGGAGGUCCCUCAAAUAGGUAAGCAUAGGGUUACCAUAAGACCCAGAAGUUUCACUGCUAGGUAUAUAUUCAAGAGAAAUAAAAACAUGUGUCCACACACAAAACUUGUACAGAAUGUUCAUAGCAGCAUUAUUUAUAAUAGCUUAAAAAAUUGAAACAACAUAAAUGUCCACCAAUGAAUGAAUGGAUCAAUGAAAUGUGAUAUAUCCACACAAUGGAAUAUGAUUCAGUCACAAAAAGGAAUGAAGUACUGAUACAUACUACAACAUAGAUGGACCUUAAAAACAUUAUGCUAAAUCAAAGAAGCCAGACGCAGAAGAUCACAUAUUGUAUGACUCCACUCAUACAAAAUAUCUAGAAUAGACAAAUCUAUAGAGACAGAAAGUAAAUGUAUAGGCUGGGGGAUGGGGAGGUCUGGGGAGAAAUGAAGAGUGUCAGCUAAUGGGCAUGGAGUUUUGUUAGGGGGAGAUGAAAAUGUUAUAAAAUUGACUGUGCU
rnacentral:lncRNA from 1 species